GAUUUCUUUUUUUUUUUCAUUCAAAAGUAACCAUAUACAAAAUAUACAAUAUAAUAUACACUACUCCAAGAAACCGCACCACCUUAAAAAUUAGUCAUUCUUGAUGUCUCGAAUUUUCUUAACCUGUUGUCCGAUUUAACUGAUUUUUUUAUUAUUCUUUAACAACAUCGCUUUAAUAAUUUUGUUACUAGGCAAGUAAAUUGUCAUUAUAUACCGGGUGUACCAAUCAAACUGUGUUUUUUCUCAAAGUUAACCAUACCCUGUGGAAUAUUGUAGCAUUUAUAAAAUACUCAAAUUACAACCCAACAUUAGGCUCAGAUUUUCUUAACAUUCUGUUUUUGAAGUUAUACUUCUUUACGCGCGAUGAGGGUGAAUUUUUAAAUGUUAAAACCAGGCGCAUACGCAUCACCCAGGCGCAUACGCGCAUUAUAACUUUGUUCUGAUUGGAUGUUCAAAUGACAUGUCAAAAAUUAUCCAAUAUGGCAGCUGUAGGACAGCUGUGGUUUGGAGGAAAAGGUAAAGGUAAACAAAUGUAUAAUAUAUUAGUUUUAUUGUUGUGAGGACAGAAACAAAACAGUUUAUAAUAUUGUAGUGACUUUUAAAUAGUUUUUAAAAGCAACAGGUACGUAAUAAUUGUUAAUGUAUUAUGGGUAUAAACCUACCUGUUUGAUCUGCCAAAAUACAUAGUAGGUAUGUAAUAAUGUAAUACUUUUAUUUAUGUAAUUUGGUUACCAUCAAUAUUCACCUAAUAUAUUGUUUUCUUACUAUAUGUUUUGUUGUAUUUUUUUUCAAUUCUAAAGUCCACUUUACAUCAACAAUAAUUGAAUAAGAAAUUGACAAAAAGUUAUUCAAGGUCAAAUUUGGCUUAUACAAAACAAUUCUACAUCCAAUUUUGCCGUGAAUAAAAAGAAAAUAAAGAAAUUUGACAAAAUAAAACAU